AUUGAGCGCUGGCGGCAGGCCUAACACAUGCAAGUCGAGCGGUAACGCGGGGCAACCUGGCGACGAGCGGCGGACGGGUGAGUAACGCGUAGGAAUCUACCUGGUAGUGGGGGAUAGCCCGGGGAAACUCGGAUUAAUACCGCAUACGCCUCAAGGGGGAAAGUGGGGGAUCUUCGGACCUCACGCUAUCAGAAGAGCCUGCGUUGGAUUAGCUAGUUGGUAGGGUAAAAGCCUACCAAGGCGACGAUCCAUAGCUGGUCUGAGAGGAUGAUCAGCCACACUGGAACUGAGACACGGUCCAGACUCCUACGGGAGGCAGCAGUGGGGAAUAUUGGACAAUGGGGGCAACCCUGAUCCAGCCAUGCCGCGUGUGUGAAGAAGGCCUUCGGGUUGUAAAGCACUUUAAGCAGGGAGGAAGGCUUCACGGUUAAUAACCGUGGGGAUUGACGUUACCUGCAGAAUAAGCACCGGCUAACUCCGUGCCAGCCGCCGCAGUAAGAC
rnacentral:rRNA from 1 species